rnacentral:rRNA from 1 species
AAAAACAUAACUAUAUGGGUUACAUAUAUAGCUAUUUCUGCUCAAUGAUAUAUUAAAUAGCCGCAGUAAUUUGACUGUGCAAAGGUAGCAUAAUCAAUUGACUUAUAAUUGAAGUCUAGUAUGAAGGAACACUUGGGGGGUGGCUGUUUCAGUAAUAUCACUUAAAUUUACUUAUUGGGUGAAAAUUCCCAUAUGGAAAUAAUAGACGAGAAGACCCUAGAAAUUUUAAGUAUAACUAAAUCCAUGGUUUUUGUUGGGGCGACAUAGUAGCAUAUAACCUACUGUAGUAAUAUAUGAUUUAUAUUGUAAGAUAAACUAAAUUACUCUAGGGAUAACAGCAUAAUAUUUUAAAGUUUGUGACCUCGAUGUUGGACUAGGAAAUAAUAGCCCAGAAGGUGAUUUACUAUGCUCUGUUCGAGCAGAAUUUUCCUACGUGAUCU